rnacentral:tRNA from 1 species
GAGGGGAGACACUAUCCAGCAAGAACUGCUAACUCUUGCAUCUGGGCCUAAAACCCCAGUCCCCUUA